rnacentral:lncRNA from 1 species
UGCAUCUGUCUGCUUGAGCUUACAUUUCAGUGGGGAGAUAAAAACAAUAAAGCAGUAACAUAAUGCAUGACACAUGGGUAUAUUUAGGAUUUUAGAGGAUAAGAAGUGUUAUUUUUUUUUAAAAGGAAAUGAGCACAGGAUAAGAGAAAUAUGUUGAAAUUCUAAUAAGGGAAGUUAUCAUUUUGUGAAAUUGAUAUUUAAAAGAGACAUAAAAGGUUAGGUAUUUAGCUCCAUGGAUAUCCAGGGUAAAAGUGUUCUAUGUAGAAAUAACUGCUAAAACGAAGCCAUAUGCCGAUGUCUGGUGCAAGCUGCGAUUUUGAUGGUUAGCACAUUGAGAAGCCACUGGAGAGUCUUGCACAAAGGUAGACAAGAUGGCUAUGGAGUUGAGAAUAGAUUAUAACUAAGGAGACAAAGAUGGAGACAAGGAAGCCAGCAAGAAGUCUAUUGCUAUUAGAUGUGUGUGAUUAUAAUGGCUUGGACCAGGCUGGUCAUAGAAGAUGAACAUUGGUUAGAUUCUGGAUAUAUUUGAAACCAGGACAAAAAUGAUAUCAUCAGGACAUUUCAUCCUUGCAAAUGUUGACUAACAGGAUCUUAAGAAGUUCAGCCAUAAACACACCAAUUGCAUUUCACUUAGUUUUUCUAGGUAUGUGACCUCAGAAUCCUUUUUAAAGAUACAGAACAAUCAUUAUUUUGUGACACUGAUGCUGUACAGAAUGUAUUUGGAAAUGCUGUCAUAGAAACCAAGACAAUUUGCAAAACUAAGUGUAGCCUGAACUAUUCUCCUUCAGAUAAACUCCUGUUCCAUUUGAUUUGAUGUAUGCUAUGUAACUUCACUUGAGAAUCUUACCUAAAACAUGCAAUUAGGAUUUUACGAUUUUCUUAUUUUUAAUUUUGUAAUUCUCACAAGACCUAAGAAAGCAAAGGGCAGCUCUUUAUAUAUUUUUUUCUAAAAAUAUUCCUUUCUCUUUAUUGAAUGAGUCAGAAGUCAAUAAAUUAUCUACUUUCUUUGACUAAAGGACAUGCAUUUUUCAGACACUUGUCAAGAGCAUAGGAUAGAUUUUAUGCAUGAAAGCUCUGCUUUUCUCACUUUUAGUUUAAAACAGGGGAAAAUUACUGGUGGCUUAUGAAAAAGUUUCAUUUAUUUAUUGAGUCACUAAAUCUAAUUAUGUCUAUUAUUCUUAAAAACUCCAUGGUAACUUGCAAAACCAGAAAGACUGAUUCACAUACAUUCCAUACUUGAAUAGCUUAUUAUUAUUGCAGAAUUCAGAGCACUGCCUUCCUUAAGAAGCUGUCAGAAUUUCUAUUCAUUUCAAGAGUUUAUAAAUUAACUAUGGGAAUAUUUCUGGCAAUGGUGUGCUUGGUUCUGAAAGCCUUGGUAUCUUCAAUUUCCAAUGCAUUUUUCUCUUUUAACUUUUAACCUUCAUUACCUUUAAAAUGGAUUUGCCUUUUUAAAAAAGUAGUUCACUGGUCACAGAAUUUAUUUAUUGUGGUUUAAAGUGAGUGGACAAGGACCAUCCAGUUAACCUUUAAAUUGAUAUUGACAAUUGGAAGCAUUUCAAAAAAUUAAAACAUCUGUAUUGAUGUAUCAAAUAGGUGGACUUUUGUUGAACCCAGAUUGUAAUCUCAUAUUGAAUAUUUAUGUACAAGAUGAAGAGCGUAUGAUGGAAACAGAGUAUGUUAAACACAGUUUAUCAAAAGAAAAACUUUUUUUUAAGGAACAUAGAUUUUAAGGUCACAAAAGACCUCAUAGAAUUCCAGGGAUCCACUUUAUGGAUUAAGAAACAAAUUGCUGAAGAUUCUUCCUCUUCCACUUCGUGACUCGUACCAUCUGUUGACACCACACAAUUAUGGAAAAAUAACAUCUUACUAAGAGAGAAGCAGAAGGGGUACUCUUAAUAAACGACUAAAACACUUCUCCUUUUAGACACCAGCUUUAUCCACUUACACUUCCCUACUUCAAGAGCUGGCACAGUUACCCGUGUGUAUUUUCCAAUUGUACUAUCCAUUUGCUCAGCAUAGGUUCAUCCUGUUCAGUUCACUUAUAAGUUUUAAACAUAGUAAGCCCACAUAGAGAAGGGGAAGGGGGGCAUGAUAAGUAAAGAAAAAUAUCCUAAUAUAGCAUUAACAUUUCCUGUAUUUUAGUUAAUUUACCUCUAGAAAGCUAAAUGUAAUCCGUGUCUUUAGCACAUUCCUUUCCAUUCACAUGUGCAUCUUCUGCAAGAUUAUUUUUAAUGUUUUACAAAGACACCGACAUCACAACUAUUUUCUCAUAUAAAACACUAGAAAAGUUGAGAAAAAGUAGUUACCUCCACUCUGAUAUAAUUUCCUCCCUGGAAUUAUUAAAGGAGCUCAGGAGAAAAGGCAGAAGUGUCUGUUCUCUGAGAAUUCUGAGCAUGGUGACUAUGGAUUUGUAAAUACUUGCUUUUAAAACAGUUUUUAAUAAACCUUCGCUUUACCCUUUGCUGCCAAUGAUAUUUUUCUUGUUUAAGAUUAGGGUCUUUGAAUCCAAUUUGGGGUGAGAAUGUCAAGGCUGACUCUAGGAUUCCUAAGGGCAACACAGUAAUAUUUGAUGUAAUAGGUGGGACAUCUUGCUGUUGCUUGACUUGAGGGUGACUUGGUCAGUGUUUUCUGGGUGUCAUGAAGAGUGUUUUUACAUAAUUACCAGAUUUAUUUUAUUUGUAUCAUUCUUCAUGAUUUAUUCUAAUUUUAAAUUCAUAUUUCUAGUGCAUUUGGCAAUCGUCCCAAAUUAAUAUGCUUUUUUUUUUUUCCUUUGAGUUAGAAGAAUUUCUCCACUGCAUUUCUUCCCAAACUCCUAGGAAUCAGGGAAUCUGCUUUGGCUGAGACACAAAUGGGGAAAGUGACCAGGCAGCCCAUGUUGUUGCUUUCAUCCCUUGUAUAGCAUGCUCUUGGGUGUGCACCAAAGUAAGAGCCCUGUGUUAGGGCUGCCAUUCAACCUGGAGAGGACACGGUUAAUUCUUGGUGACCUCCACAUAAUGUGACAGGCAGUGGAACAGGUGGGAGAAGAGUAUCUGAGUAGAAGGUGAAAUCUACAUUCUUGUCAAAUCUCUACUCCUAGAAAGUUUUACUCCUAGUGUUUAUGUCAUCUUUGUUGGGACAUUAGGCUCAUUGUACUAUAGGUAAUUGAACAUACACUUGUGUUUUGUUCAAGUUUCAUCUUCACUCCCAUACUUUUCUGCAUCUAUUCUAUAACUAAAUUAAUGUACACAUUUUAUGUUUCAUAUCUUAUGAUAAACAACUGUGCAUCUAUACUUGAAUUUGACUUUAUUUUUUUUAUUGUGGGAAUAUAUUUGGGACUCUUCAAUUAAGAAAAAGUUACUUUGUUAGAGGUUAAUGAGGGCUGCAAAGUUUUGAGCAGUUUAAUAAAGAGCAUAACUCUAGGAAACCUGUUAUUCAUAGUGUGGGAAGAAGUAGGUAGCUCUAUUCGAGCUGAUAAACAGACCACUCUCUUUGGAUUGGAAAGACAUUAACCCCAGUUCUGGGUCACUUUCAGGCCUGGUCACAGAGCAAACAGGACACGAAAACAUUGUAAUAGCUUGAAACGUUUCUCUGACUGGAGCCUAUGCAGUGUAUGCCAAUGUCUGGGGUGUAAAUACUCCUGCAAUGGUCAAUUUGAAGCUGCUGCUGUUCCACUGAAUGAGAGGUGUGUUAGGUCUACCACACAGGCAUAGUAGGUGUAUUUAACCUCACGGAUUUGUUAAUAACACAAAUAAUACUAAAGUGGGAAAUGGAUGAGAAGUGAAAAGCUUUGAAUAUUAUCUUGGUUUAUUAAAAUUUAUUGAGUUAUAAUUUUAUAGAACUGAUUUUUUGAUGAUCACACUCUUUCAUACAUGGCUUGCCAAAUUUCUGAGAACUUCACUUCCUAGCAGCGGGUAGGAGCCCACUUCUGCACACCCCUGGGUCUCUACCUACAGUUCCUGAGUAGAGUCGAGGGUGGAGCCAAUGAUGCCUAUUUUCAACCAUUUCUGUGGUGAUGUUGAUCCUGCAGGUCGUAGGCUCACAUUUUGAGAACCCCUGACAGAGGUUACUGAAGCCCAGAAGAAAUAAGCUCAUUUUCAUUUCUGAAGAAAGACAGAGAAACAUCAGAAAAAUGAGACAGGGUUAUCCCAAACCUUAGGAUAGUGAGAUACAAAAGAAAUCAGUAUUUUAAUGAUCAUUUCAAUUAGGUAUUUUGAAAUAAGGAUUUUUCUCAACUUCCAAAGAGUGUGGUUCAUUUUUAUAAACUUCUCAACACCAAAAGCAAAACAAGGGACAAUAAAAAUUUUCUUCUUAAUGGCAAAUAUGAAAAAAACAGGGUUUUGUCUAGCAAUAAUUACAGUUAAUAUCACUGUCACACACUUGUUUUCUUCAUAUUUCCAUACUGUUAGCACUGCUCAUUAUAGCUUAUAAAAAUGCUCAUGCACAUUACUUCAUGGGUAUUAAUUAUUUGCAUUUGGAAGGGUUUUGUUCUACAGUGUAUUUUUUUAAAAUGUGUAAAAUAUCUAAAUAUAUAAAAUGGUGCUUAUCAUUUUGAAAAAAGAUUAUUUUAUAAAAAGUAAAAUCAACUAUGGGUCAACUGAGGCGGACUUUAUAAUCUGUUUUGUUACAAAAGGUGAUUGAAUGCAAUCAUUCAGGUCAUCAAAUAAUAUCAGCUAUCCAGAUUGUUCACAGCAAAUGGAGUGAUAGCCUAGAAUUCAACAGCUUCAGUCAUUAAAAACGAUAGUUCUAACAUCAGUUACAGAGGGAAAAAUCACCUUUUUAAAAUAAUGAGCUUCCUUUAUUUAAAACCUGUUAUUGGCACUUCUAUUAUAACACUUAUCACACCAUAAUGUAAUUGGUAAUUGUUCAGAAAUAAUCCCUUAAACCAUGAGCUCCUUGAGGGUAAGGGACAUUUAAUGUGUUUUCUGUUUAUUUCCUAAUGCAAAAUAGUAGGUUCUUAACUGAUGUUUAUUUGAACGGGUCCAUGGAGGAAUACAUAGAAGAAAUAAGUUUAUGAAAGUAGAUAGAGAAAACCUUGAUGCCUCAGUUAUUUUUGAUUGAGGGGCAGGAAGGGGAAAAUCUUCCCCCAUGCCAUAUUCUUCUUAGUCCUAGCAAUGAUUAUUAAGUUGAGUAUGCAUUAGAUUCAGCUGGAGAGCUUUUUAAAUAUUAGAAUGCUUAGUUCCUGCCCCUGGCAGUGUAAUUUCAUUAAGCUUAGGGUUGAGUUCUGGAGUUUGAUUUUUAAUAAGAAUCCCAGGUAAUUCUUCCUGAUUCAGAUCGUUCAUAAACCACACUUUGUCAAAAUUAUUGAUGGUAGAAAGACAGAAAUAGACUAGUAGCAAACAGGUAUUGAUCUCCAUCUGGAUCUGGAUGUAGAUAUUGACAAAUUUAUCAUCAUGUAAAAAUCAUAUGUUGAUCAUUCUUUUUUGCAAAGAGAUUAACAAUUGAUUCUGAUUACUUCUGUGUAUUUCGGUGAGUAUUACCAUUUUUUUUUCUUUACUAUGUUUUAUGACUAGUUACCAUUACUUGUCACCAGUCACCAAAAAAUGGAGAUAAAUCAUCAUAAGGGCACACUUAAAGUUAUCACUUAUCACUGUGAAUAUAUUGGGGUCAUCAAGUACUGCUCAUAGAAGACAAUCUCUUUGUAUUUAAAGUGAUAGCAUUAAUCAUAAAAAAUUCAUUUUUCAUUCAUAUUGAUGACUCGGGCACUUCCAUAAAAGGUGCUUUAUGAUUUAGUAGUUGCAAAUGGAUACUUACAGUAAGUUCAAUUUUGAAUAGGCGUGAUAUUGUCUGAAAGAUGGAUUUAGGCCAUUUAGAAAUAUAUGUUCAAAACAGAGAUUAUUCAGCAAAACUCAUUAGGAUAUAAAAGAUUUUCUUCUGGCUGUGCUGUCGUAUUCCUAGAGAAUAUUUAUACCUUGAGAAUUGAAUCCAGUCAGCUCAAUUUGAAUCAGUCUUUCUCAAACAGUCUUUCUCUGUUUGAAUGAGCAUUUCUUUUAGGGACUAUAGUUUUUUUUUUAGCCUUAACAGAUGCUUAUAUAUUAAUGGUUAUUCUUAUUUUACUUGUGGGAAAACUUAAAAAUAAGUAUGAGUGUGGGUGGGGAAUUAAAAAACCCCUCUAUUCUUGCAUUAGAGAUGAAAAUGUCUGGUGGUACUUACCAGUGUAUUAAGGCUCAAUAUACAUUUCACUAUGACAACAUUGCUAUGUUACAGUAUAUCACAACCUGCAUCAAACAAGCCUAACUGCUUAUACUUAGAGUUAUUAAAAGCAUUGAUUACCUUACAGAUGUUUUAUAGUUUCCAUAGCAUAAAAAGUAUAACAUUUAAGUUAGAUGAAAUUUCAAAGAGAAAUACAGGAAUCCCUCAAUAGUUAGUAUUCACAUCAUGAAUAUUCAUGUGAACUUAUUCUAUCUGGUUUUGCUUCUGAAAUAUUUUAAAAUGCAUGUUCAGACUUCUGGUGCAACUUCCGUAUGUACAUUUUUCAAGUAUAAAUUGAAUAAAUCCAUCUUGCAGAAUAUUUAAAAUGAUUUCAAAAUUACAUUAAAGAAAAUAUUGAGGAAAACUAGAAUUUCAGUAAUUCAGGGUAAAAAGUACACUUGUUGGAUAUUCUUUAAAAUAUUUUCUUUUAGAUACAGGUAAUUGAAGUCCAAGAAGAAUGACCCAGUAAUAGACAUUAUUCCAUUUUGUAAUUAUUAGAUGUGAAGAUAUAGGGACAUUUGAAUCACUGUGUAAGUUUUUUAGUCCUCAUGUUUCAACAAUUUGCAUUUACUUUCAUUCCCAAGAAGGCUUAGCUAAUUAUCUAGCUUGGACAGUGAGUGAACUGCCUCCCUAUGACUCUUUGCUAUAAUUUAUAUUCCAUUUUAUUAUCUAUGAUGAGUUAAUUUUAUCUCAUAUAAAAAACUGAUGCUUCACAGAACACAUUUAAUUCAUAUUUUGAUUACUGUUUCUAUAUAGUAAGAGUAUGUAAGCUAAUGACAAGAUACUAGUUUGUGUAAGAUAUUUAAAGACAUUAAUGUAUACAUGUAAGGAUAACCUGACCCCCUUGCUGUACAGUG